rnacentral:rRNA from 1 species
UACAGAGGUCUCAAGCGUUGUUCGGAUUCAUUGGGCGUAAAGGGUGUGUAGGUGGCGCCGUAAGUCGGGUGUGAAAUUUCGGAGCUUAACUCCGAAACUGCAUUCGAUACUGCGGUGCUUGAGGACUGGAGAGGAGACUGGAAUUCAUGGUGUAGCAGUGAAAUGCGUAGAGAUCAUGAGGAAGACCAGUGGCGAAGGCGGGUCUCUGGACAGUUCCUGACACUGAGACACGAAGGCCAGGGGAGCAAAACGGG